rnacentral:lncRNA from 7 species
AAUUUCUCCGUGACACAACCCUGCCUUGACUCUCUGCUGAGGCUGUUACCAAAGGGCUAACAACACGGUUUUGUGACGUGGUGCCUUCCCAAUUGCGGCUGGAUUCAGAGAAGCUCAGGGCUUGCAGAGUCUGUCACCAUACGAGAAGCAGGGUCACAGAUGCAUGGUAACAAACACAGGCUCCCUCCUCACCUGCUGACCGGAAGGACUCAGCAAUAGCUUAGAACUGAAGAGGAGGAUUGAUUCCCAGAACAGACUGUGUCGGUGCCCAGAAAUGUAGAGUUUGCAGGAGGUGGUCCAGCAAGGUGUGGUUAGGACUUGUUUGUUGCCGGCUCAUCCCCUUCCAGCCUCAGGCGCCCUGGAGCCAGCGUGCCUCAGCUGUUUUCUGCAGCCCUCCUGGUAUUCCAGCUUGGAUUUGGGACACAGCUCAGCGAAGUUUACCUGUCGUAUCCACAACAGGCUGGGGAUGGCGAUGCUAAUACUGCAGCGCCUUUAGCAGAGCUCAGUGAUAGCAUUUGACCCAAAUUACAGAGGGAAAAGGCCGCUCUGUAAAAACCAAAAUGUCUCUGGUUGGCAAGUUCUAUUG